UACGAAGGGUGCAACCGUUGCUCGGAAUUAUUGGGCGUAAAGCGCACGUAGGCGGCAUUGCAAGUCGGAUGUGAAAUCUUAUGGCUUAACCAUAAAAGUGCAUCCGAAACUGCAGUGCUUGAGUACUUAAGAGGAUCGCGGAAUUCCCGGUGUAGAGGUGAGAUUCGUAGAUAUCGGGAGGAACACCAGUGGCGAAGGCGGCGAUCUGGGAAGAUACUGACGCUGAGGUGCGAAAGCGUGGGGAGCAAACAGG
rnacentral:rRNA from 1 species